ensembl:miRNA
UACCGCAGGGAAAAUGAGGGACUUUUGGGGGCAGAUGUGUUUCCAUUACACUAUCAUAAUGCCCCUAAAAAUCCUUAUUACUCUUGCAGUAUU